AUGACUGUUGAAUUUCAACCAAUUACUCUGCAAGCGUUUGGGUGUUAUUGUUCGGGUGUAUUCAGUGUAGUUGAUCGGUACAAACACUUGUGAAAGAGGAUGGUUUGGUUACAAAUGUCAAUAUCGGGAUUUGACUAGCUACGUAAAGACGACAAAAGAUGCAUGGCUAAUAGAUGGAAAUGACUCAACAUGUAAUACAGAUACUAAUCUGACAAGUCUAACUUUAAAUUUUAACACAUCCAUUCCUUACACUUGGAUGAGAUUAGUUUUUAAUAUGACAUACCCCAUCCACUAUUUUAUGUAAAUUUCAAGACUACAUCAAAUGCAACGUCUAAGUGUCAAGACCAAAGACUUUUACAAAUCAACAAUGAUACUAUCGAUGUUUUGUGUACAUUAAAUGUUACCAUACAAGAGAUUACAAUCACAGGAGCAGGUGUCAAAACUUUGUGUUCAAUUUAUGUCAGUGGAGG
rnacentral:sRNA from 1 species